GAACGAACGCUGGCGGCGUGGAUAAGACAUGCAAGUCGGACGAGAGGCUUUUGAAGUUUACUUUGAGGGUCUCUAGUGGCGAACGGGUGAGUAACACGUGAGCAACGUGCCCGAAAGUGUGGGACAGCCCAGGGAAACUUGGAUUAAUACCGCAUGUGGACCAGCAGGUUUCCUGCUUGGUUUAAAGGUGGGGAUCGUAAGACCUACCGCUUUCGGAUCGGCUCGCGCCCUAUCAGCUUGUUGGUGAGGUAAAGGCUCACCAAGGCUACGACGGGUACCUGGUCUUAGAGGACGAUCAGGCACACUGGGACUGAGACACGGCCCAGACACCUACGGGUGGCAGCAGUCGAGGAUCAUGCACAAUGGGCGAAAGCCUGAUGCUGCGACGCCGCGUGGAGGAUGAAGGCCCUAGGGUCGUAAACUCCUGUCAUCAACGAGUAUGGCAACAUUGGUCAAUAUCCCGUGUUGUUGAUAGUAGUUGAAGAGGAAGGGACGGCUAACUUCGUGCCAGCAGCCGCGGUAAUACGAAGGUCCCAAGCGUUGUUCGGAUUCACUGGGCGUAAAGGGUGCGUAGGCGGCGCGGAAAGUCAGAUGUGAAAUCCCAGGGCUCAACCCUGGAACUGCAUCCGAUACUCCCGCGCUAGAGGACCGGAGAGGAGUCUGGAAUUCACGGUGUAGCAGUGAAAUGCGUAGAUAUCGUGAGGAACACUAAAUGCGAAGGCAG
rnacentral:rRNA from 1 species